rnacentral:rRNA from 1 species
GACGAACGCUGGCGGCGUGCUUAACACAUGCAAGUCGAACGAAGAGCGAUGGAAGCUUGCUUCUAUCAAUCUUAGUGGCGAACGGGUGAGUAACGCGUAAUCAACCUGCCCUUCAGAGGGGGACAACAGUUGGAAACGACUGCUAAUACCGCAUACGAUCUAAUCUCGGCAUCGAGGAUAGAUGAAAGGUGGCCUCUACAUGUAAGCUAUCACUGAAGGAGGGGAUUGCGUCUGCUUAGCUAGUUGGAGGGGUAACGGCCCACCAAGGCGAUGAUCAGUAGCAGGUCUGAGAGGAUGAGCGGCCACUCUGGGACUGAGACACGGCCCAGACUGCUUCGGGAGCCAGCAGUAGUGCAUCUGCCGCAAUGGGUGAAAGUCUGACCGAGAUAGGCGGAGGUAGUGCUGACGACCGUCGCGUUGUAGAGCUCUGUUAAUCGGUACGAAAGGCCUUCUUGCGAAUAGUGAGAAGGAUUGACGGUACCGGAAUAGAAAGCCACGGCUAACUACGUG